rnacentral:rRNA from 1 species
UACGUAGGGAGCAAGCGUUGUCCGGAAUCAUUGGGCGUAAAGCGCGCGUAGGCGGCCCUGUAAGUCCGUUGUGAAAGUCAAAGGCUCAACCUUUGAAAGCCGAUGGAUACUGCAGGGCUAGAGUCCGGAAGAGGCGAGUGGAAUUCCUGGUGUAGCGGUGGAAUGCGCAGAUAUCAGGAGGGACACCAAUAGCGAAGGCAGCUCGCUGGGACGGUACUGACGCUAAGGCGCGAAAGCUAGGGGAGCGAACGGG